rnacentral:lncRNA from 1 species
AUUCUCCUGGAACAUGGCGCCAAUCCAAACAUUAAGGAUAUCUACAGCAACACUGCUCUCCAUUAUGCUGUGUAUAAUAAGGGGACUUCACUGGCAGAAAAACUGCUUUCCCACCAUGCAAAUAUUGAAGCACUAAACGAGGAGGGAAACACUCCACUUUUGUUUGCUAUAAAUUCUAGGAGACAGCAAAUUGUGGAAUUUCUGUUGAAGAACCAGGCAAAUUUACAUGCCAUUGACAAUUUCAGAAGAACAGCCCUCAUGCUUGCAGUACAGCAUAACUCAUCAAGUAUCGUCAGCCUCCUCCUUCAACAAAAUAUAAAUAUCUUUUCUCAAGACCUGUUUGGCCAGACUGCCGAGGAUUAUGCUGUUUGUUAUAAUUUCAGAAGCAUUCAACAACAAAUUUUGGAACAUAAAAAUAAGAUACUUAAAAGUCAUCUUUGAAAUGAUAAUCAAGAAACAGCAGCUAUGAAGCCUUGAAUUUUGAAAAAAAGACAAGAAGGUGCAAAAGGGAUUCAAGACGUCUGACUAGAGGCAUCUAGCAUUUGCCUCCUCCACAAAGAAGAACCAAAAUAGUGAGUGAUCACACUUCUAAUAGAUAAUCUAAAAAAGAAUACUGGAAUUCAACAGAGAAGUAACAGGAAACACCUAACGCAAGGAAAGAGAGGGAAGAGAGGCAGCCUGCCUGGCUAGGGUUGGCUGGGAACCUCAAAGAGGCUCCACAAUGUGGGAAAAAGUCUUUAAUCCUGGCAGGGAUUCACGGGCGCACACACACACACUCAGGAUUCAGAUCUUGUUGAAAGCUGCGAUAUCGACACUCUGCACGUGCUCCUCAAACUUGGUGAUCUCCUCCAGCAAGUCUGUCCCCACCUUGUCGUCCUCCACCACACACUGAAUCUGUAGCUUCCGGAUACCGUAGCCCAUGGGCACCAGCUUGGAGGCCCCCUAGACCAGCUCUUCCAGCUGGAUGGAGCACACACAGGCCUCCAGCUGGGCCAUGUCAGUCUCAUCGUCCCAAGGCUUGAAAUCCAGCAGGAUGGAGGACUUGGCCACCAGUUCAGGCUUCUUGGCCUUCUUCUCCGCGUACUGCUGCAGCCGCUCCUCCUGCAGCUGUGCCGCCUUCUUGUCCUCCUCCUCAUUGUCGCUGCCAAACAGGUCAGUGUCAUCAUCGUCGUCAUCCUCUGCUGGUGUGAAUGGCUUCUUGGCCAGGGGCUCCACUUGGCGCAUGGGAGACAUGUGCUGGGUCUGUGGGGCCGUGGCCCGGUGGCCAGGCGAGUUCUUCUCCAGCACGUUCAGCCGGGCCUCCAGCUUGGAGAUGACCUGCUGCAGCUCCUGUACCACACUGCGCAGGCUCUGGUUCUCCACUUUCAGACUGGUGAUCCGGACGACGAGCUCGCUGUGGUCUCCGCUGGGGCCGCUGGAGGCCCCGGGGCCUGAGUUUCCGGCCAGGGAUUUCUGGAUGUUCUCUCUGGCUCUCGCGAUGUCACGGAGGAUCACGCUGGCGUCGUUCUCUUGGCGGGAGGCACCGGCCACAGGCCCAUUCAUCUGCUCGUAGAAUCUCCUUUCUGCGUCGUCAUAUUUGAACUUGUCGAACCAGAUCUUCUCAUGUACUAGGAAGUUUGUAGCCAUUUUUCUGACGCCUGCCAAGGACGCGACGACCAGGGAGGAGGAAUCGGCGGACGCGGGACACCUGAGGAAAGGCUAAAGUCUGUAGUUAAGUUGCUGCUACUUUUGAGUCAAUAACAUCAAGACCAGUGUUGGUGAAUCUUUUGGCCUUUCCCCAAUGCUUGAAAGAAGAUCACCACUGCUGGAGGCAUAAUGUACAAGGCAGGAAAAGGGAUGGAAUUGAUGGUGACAGCUAAGUCUGUCUUUUUUCUUAGGAAAUAAAGGUUUUCCUAGGAU